CACUCAUGUUUCACCUCAGAUCGUAUAAAUCUUUCGCCUUUUACUAAAGAUUUCCGUGGGGAGGAAUGAUAUGAGUAUAAUUUAAUUUUUUGAUGCCCUGUGCAUACGGGGCU
rnacentral:snRNA from 1 species